CCUACGGGUGGCAGCAGUGAGGAAUAUUGGUCAAUGGGCGCAAGCCUGAACCAGCCAAGUCGCGUGAGGGAUGACGGUCCUAUGGAUUGUAAACCUCUUUUGUCGGGGAGCAAGGCCCGCCACGUGUGGCGGGAAGGAGAGUACCCGAAGAAAAAGCAUCGGCUAACUCCGUGCCAGCAGCCGCGGUAAUACGUAGGUGGCAAGCGUUGUCCGGAUUUACUGGGUGUAAAGGGCGUGUAGCCGGGCUGACAAGUCAGAUGUGAAAUCCCGUGGCUCAACCACGGAACUGCAUUUGAAACUGUCGGUCUUGAGUAUCGGAGAGGCAGGCGGAAUUCCUAGUGUAGCGGUGAAAUGCGUAGAUAUUAGGAGGAACACCAGUGGCGAAGGCGGCCUGCUGGACGACAACUGACGGUGAGGCGCGAAAGCGUGGGGAGCAAACAGGAUUAGAUACCCUUGUAGUC
rnacentral:rRNA from 1 species